UACGUAUGGGGCAAGCGUUAUCCGGAUUUAUUGGGUGUAAAGGGCGUGUAGGCGGGAGCGCAAGUCAGAUGUGAAAACUCAGGGCUCAACCCUGAGCCUGCAUUUGAAACUGUGUUUCUUGAGUGCUGGAGAGGCAAUCGGAAUUCCGUGUGUAGCGGUGAAAUGCGUAGAUAUACGGAGGAACACCAGUGGCGAAGGCGGAUUGCUGGACAGUAACUGACGCUGAGGCGCGAAAGCGUGGGGAGCAAACAGG
rnacentral:rRNA from 1 species